GAAAAAUAUCCAUAUCAUAGAAUACCAACAGGUAAGCUGUUUGGCUGAAUUUUCCAGCAUCUUAGGGCACAGCUCCUCAAGCACCCCACAAGGUUCACCACAUCCAGACCCUAAGGCUUCAAGACGAAUAUGGAUAUUUGCAGUUCUUCCAAAGGAUGUUGCAAAAGUGUUACGUAGACCUAAUAUUUUAUUUACUAAUGAGUUGAAGUUCACAAGAGGUGGUGUCACGAAUUCUCAUAAUCAUCUUGUGUGGUCUGAUGAAAAUCCCCUUGCAGUCACAGAAAGAGAUUAGCAGCACUAUUUCUCAAUCAACAAUCUGGCAGGAACAUUUCACAGACAUGGGGAUUUCUUAUCCUCCAGAUCUCAAUUCUCAAGAUUUGAUUACGAAGACACUUGAAGUGACGUAUAGACGCCAUAGGAUCAUGUGUUCAAUGCAU